CGGCCUGGGCCCUUCACACCUGGACAUGAAGUAUGUCCUCCAGCAACUGUCCAACUGGCAGGACGCCCAUUCUAAGCGGCAGCAGAAGCAGAAGGUGGUCCCGAAAGACUCCCCAGCCCCGCAGCAGCAAACAAACAUGGGGGGCGGGAUCGUGGAGCAGCAGCCCAUAGUGCCGACCCAGGACUCUCAGAGGCUGGAGGAGGACAGGGCCACUCACUCUCCCAGUGCCAGGGAGGAAGAGGGGCCUUCUGGGGCCACCUAGGCCUGGAACGAAGGCCUCUGCCAGCAAAGGCCACAGUUGGACCAAUCCCCCGGGUGAGUGUGGGGCUCCCGCAGGGUGGUAGGGGCGGGUCAGGGUCUCCUCUGCCUAUCUGGAAACCCCAGUUCCUAGGAGAUGCUGUCCGUGAAAUCAGAUGAUUUAGCAUUGGAUCUCUUUC
rnacentral:lncRNA from 1 species